GCAACUGCAUUGUUGUGAAAAUUGUGAAUGUUUAAUUUAGUCUUUUUACAUGAUUAUAGGUUUCCUUGAAGUUUCUUGACUGGUGACAUUGUUAUCUAGAUAUGGUCACAUGAAGGCUGAAUUUGAGUUAUUAUAAAGAAGAUAUAUUGGCUCUGAUAGUGAUAAACGGCUAAUACUCAUUUUGUCUACACCUCUUCUUGCCAGAUCUAAAUAGACCUCGCUUUUAUUAUUGUUCCAAUUACAUUGGACAGCUGAUAGAUUUGAAUCUUGACGAGUAGGAAAGUUGGCCAUGGCAACGUGCUAUGCCUUAAUCUGUAUGUAAUCUCCUUAAUGUGUCAAUGGUGAACAUGGAAGAAAGUCUGUUAGCUAUGUCCAAAUAAGGUUCCUCGAAGAUCUGUUUUCAUCAAUCUGAGCUGUAUCCCUUUCAAUUUGAUUUGAACUAUCAAAUUUGGAUAUCAAUUCUCUUCAGCUCAUAGGGGCAGACAAGAUGUGCUUAUCCUUAAUCUUUGGAGAAGCGAAGAAAAAAAAUAUGAUGAUGGUAUUAAAGAAUGCACAAAAGCAUUGGAGCUAAACCUUAACUACAUAAGUGUUUUGCUAAGAAGAGCAGAGGUGUAUGAAAAGUUGUAACAAUUUGAAGAGACUAUAGCAGAUAUGACAAAGGUUUUGGAAGUUGACCCAUCAUAUGAUCAAGCUAGAAGACAGAUUGUUCGCUUGAAGCCAUUAGCAGAUGAAAAACGUCAAAAGAUGAAGGAAGAAAUGAUUGUUGACCAUUGGUGAAAAUGUGUUCUAGGGGAGAAGAGUGGAGGAGGAGGAGAGGAUCUGGAAUUUUUGCAAAAGUAAAAGGAGCUAGUGUGAGCUGAGGUGGCUAGUGCAUUCGGAAGAUUCUGGAGGAAGGGGAAGGUUAAUGUGAGCAGAUAAAGCUUUGCUUCAGGUGCUGCUAAAGAAUAGAUGCUUGUGGAAGUGGACAAACGAUUACUGAGAUUAGCAAAAGGAUGGUUUAAGGGAAAUGUAAGCUGAGGGAAAUUGGAAAUUGCAAUUCUGGUCAAUUUGGAAUGAGCGCUGACAAUUUCAAAGCUGUGAAAGAUCCAAACACUGGUUCAUAUUCUAUUCCAUUUCAGUGCUAAUAUCUUUUACAAACUUCACAUAUAUUCUUUAGUUUCUGGAGCUAUGGAUCAAAUGGACUGAAAUCUUAAAGAGGAUGAAGCACGUUUCCUCACAGUGUUGAUCUCAGUCGUAUGAUUAUGUUUUUACAUAUAACUUGAGAAAAAGAAAUUGAUGUGGUUUUUUGCCAUAAUAUGUUAUAAACAGACUUAAAGUUUCACUUUACUGGAAGUUUCUUAUAGUUGCUUUAGUACUUUCCAUUUCUUCGUGGUGUUGUCCAUGGUUUUGAUACUGUUUUGGAGGGCAUCUGAAGGUGCAGCAUAAUUUAUGCUAUCAACGUCUUUGUCAUGAUCUGUUCGGAGAGUAGCAUAGAAAUGUAGAACCUUGCACGCAAACAGGGAGAGAGUCCACCUCCUCUUCCCACCCAUCCCAAAAAAGGGUAAAUUCUGACUAGAUAUCAUAUCAUAGCCACACUAAAAGUGUGUAAGCUCGGAUGAACACUGAAAUGGUCUGGUUACUCCGUAAUUUUCAUGAACUCUGGGGGUGUUUGUUGGUUGCAUGAUUUUUGGGCGGCUUGGGGAUAUGUGGGCGCAGACAGCCUCAUUGAAUCGGCACAACUCAGGAAUCAAGUUAAUUCUUGAAAAAUUGAAACUUGCGGAAGAAAGGCAAAUGGAAGGAAGGGACUCACUUUGGUAUCUCUGAACAGCUAUUCCACUUUGGAUUGGGCAAGGAUGAAUGGACAGUUGAUAAAAGCCAUUUCUCCACGAGUUAUGGAAACAUAUUGAUAUGCAGCAUUACGGUAUCUAGGUACUCCUAAGAACGCUUUUCAUGUCCCAUAUGCAGUUUUGUGCUCUUGAUCUCAUUUUAUUAUGGCCCAACCUGCAAUUCUAUUUUGUUUUAAAAUUGAGUCAACAUAGUCCAGUUAUAGUGUAAAUGAGAGCCAUUUUGGGGCUGUUUUAUUACCAUUUCAAUGAGAUAGUGGAGUUAGUCUUGAGUUGGUAGGAGCUAUUGGAUAUCCUUGCCUUUCAAUGUUGGACAUUGAUUUUGUUUGUUAAGUCCGUUAAAACUUAAAACAGAGCAUCAAGCUCUCCUGCUUAUAGCAAUUCCUUACUUAUUUUAGUGCCUCUGUUUUCCAUCUUCUACAGCCUUCUAUCUUGUUUCUUUGAGGAGACUACCGAUGUAUUUCUUUCCAAGAAAACAUGCAACUCUAAACUCUCUUUCCUGCAGCAAAAGAAAAAGACAACUUAGAUAUCUAGAGAAAAGAUUAUUAUUGGGAAUUGAGAAGUUUACCACCCUCUGCUGCAAUCUCCUCUCUGAGAUA